UUUUUUAUUUAUUUUUGUUGUAAUUGAUGUCCUUGUCGAAGAUAUUUUUAUUGUAGCACGUGACUUCACAUGAAUUAUCCGAUGCUCAUGAAAUAAAAAGUGACUAAUAUUAUAUUAAGUCUAUUAGAUUUUGCCAUUUGAUUUUUAAAAAAAAAAACACUUCCCCCUACAUAGGUUAAGUGAUUGAGCUUGGGUCCACUCCAGAUAUUAGAAGUAAUAUCCAAGGUUAUUAUUAAUAUUUCUAUUAACCUUGUAAUAUCUACAUCAUAUGCCACUUACGUAUGUUUGUAUGUAUGCAGCGAUAUCGUCGUUUUGGAACAACAUUUUAAGCUAAAAUUUGCUUUGCUGGUGUGGUUUGGCAUGAAGAUUAUGUUAAGUGAUUGUAAAGCUUUGUAAUAUUCCGUCAUUUAGUAUCCUCAUAUACAUAUAUCCAGUUAUACCAGGAGAACUAUAUAAUACAAUACAUUUAAAAAAUUACGUGAACUUUAAUAUUUUCUCAUUAUCGGAACCUCCUUGGAACAAUCGACCACUGCUUGUACACAAGUGACUCCUCCAACAACACCUGCACACAAGAGGCCCUGACUUCCACGUUCAACAUCCAGAUGGGUCCUUCAAUCUACUCCUCUGAUGUCUCAACAAGAAGCAACAUCAGGAGUAAGAUCAUCAGGUGAGUUGAUAAACCAGACUAGAGCAAGGACAAAAGUAUUAACAGGAACAGAAGUGCCACUUCUCUCUGGGCAGCAACAAACGCCCCCUCCAAAAUUAAAUAAAAGGGAGGGGGCGGCUGCUAGGAGGGAAGCUAAUCGAAUCCGGAAUGCAGAGACACGAGCAGUAGAGACAACAACUGAGAGGAUUGAAAGGUUGAAAAAAAUUAGGGAUUACACAGCAGCCACAAGAGCAAGAGAAAGUUCAGCACAGAGGAAUGGAAGAUUAAAAGAGAUUAGGGAGAACACGGCAGCCUCAAGAGCAGAGGUGAGUCCAGGCAACACAACAGGAUAUACUUGAACAAUACCAAGGUUAAUAGAAAUAUUGAUGUCAUAAUGGUUGUGUAUGUUGUCAAAAUCUGUUUUUCUUGCCCAGCAGUCGGUACGUGACAUUAAAUUGAAAAUUCUAGCGAUCGUGACGUCAUAGACAAUGAGUGGUUGCGUGUUUGGUAAAAAUUUAGGUGUCUUGCCCAGCAUACGGUACGGUACAUCAAAUACAGCAAGCCCGAUUACAUGAUGGGUCAAACCUUGUAUUUCUAUUAACCUUGAACAAUACGAACAAUCCAAUUCCGCAAA
rnacentral:lncRNA from 1 species